rnacentral:rRNA from 1 species
GAUGAACGCUGGCGGCGUGCCUAAUACAUGCAAGUCGAGCGAACGGACGAGAAGCUUGUUUCUCUGAUGUUAGCGGCGGACGGGUGAGUAACACGUGGAUAACCUACCUAUAUUACUGGGAUAACUUCGGGAAACCGGAGCUAAUAACGGAUAAUAUUUUGAACCGCAUGGUUCAAAAGAGAAAGACGGUCUUGCUGUCUCUAAUAGCUGGAUCCGCGCUGCAUUAGCUAGUUGGUAAGGUAACGGCUUACCAAGGCGACGAUGCAUAGCCGACCUGAGAGGGUGAUCGGCCACACUGGAACUGAGACACGGUCCAGACUCCUACGGGAGGCAGCAGUAGGGAAUCUUCCGCAAUGGGCGAAAGCCUGACGCAGCAACGCCGCGUGAGUGAUGAAGGUCUUCGGGUCGUAAAGCUCUGUUGUUGGGGAAGAACAGCUGUGUAAGUAAAUGUGCACAUCUUGACGGUACCUAAUCAAAAAGCACCGGCUAACUACGUG